rnacentral:lncRNA from 1 species
AAAGAAUACAAGCAUGGGGAUUGGGAGAGGGAGAACCAGGCUCCUCACUGAACAGGACCCUGGGAUCCUGACCCGAGCUGAAGGCAGAUGCUUAACGACUGAGCCACCCGGACAGAGACCCACUUCCAGCUCCCAGAGGACUUGCUCCGGGCCUCUCCCAGUUUCCAAGGAGAGGUUUCUCCACGGACGAAGUAUGUGAGGCUUGGAACUGCAGCCACUGUCUCGUGCGCAGGUGGGAAAAGCCCCAAGGAUCAUGAAGAAGCUGACCCAGAUCCUGGACAUCGCUCAGCAGCUGAACCACUCUUGGAACUGCCUCUUUCUAGGCUUCCUGUUAGGUGAUAAAAACAAACGUAU